AACCCAUGUUGAGGAAAUUUUCGUAGGAGAUCCUUGAACCUAUCCCAUGUCUCAAAAAAUGACUCUAAUUCAGUUUGUACAAAGGAAAAUAUUUCAUUCCUGAGCUU